GGGCGAUUAGCUCAGCUGGUUAGAGCGUUGGCCUCACAUGCCAAAGGUCACAGGUUCGAGUCCUGUAUCGCCCACCA
rnacentral:tRNA from 1 species